CUUUCCUCUGCUGCAAAGGCUGCCUUGCUCUCUUCCACGGGGAUCUGACGCUGCUUACUCCUUUGGGAAGGGCAAUCCUCUCCUGGGAUCUGAGGAGGCCAGCCAAGCAGAUCAAGCCAAGCUUUAUGAGGAGCUGGGUAUGUUGAGUUGGAGAAGAGGAGACAGAGAGGAGAUAGGAGAGCCAUGUCAGAUUAGAUAAUUUAUUACGGUCAGAGACCAGCUUAUAAAACACACUUGGGGGUACAGUCACAGAAGUAAAACAGGCAAUUUAUGUACAACAACAAAUUUAAAAACAAUGCACACCAACAAACUAUCCCAGGGAGUUGACUCAGAGUCACCCAUGAAACCGAG